AUUGAACGCUGGCGGCAGGCCUAACACAUGCAAGUCGAGCGGAUGAAGGGAGCUUGCUCCUGGAUUCAGCGGCGGACGGGUGAGUAAUGCCUAGGAAUCUGCCUGGUAGUGGGGGAUAACGUCCGGAAACGGGCGCUAAUACCGCAUACGUCCUGAGGGAGAAAGUGGGGGAUCUUCGGACCUCACGCUAUCAGAUGAGCCUAGGUCGGAUUAGCUAGUUGGUGGGGUAAAGGCCUACCAAGGCGACGAUCCGUAACUGGUCUGGGAGGAUGAUCAGUCACACUGGAACUGAGACACGGUCCAGACUCCUACGGGAGGCAGCAGUGGGGAAUAUUGGACAAUGGGCGAAAGCCUGAUCCAGCCAUGCCGCGUGUGUGAAGAAGGUCUUCGGAUUGUAAAGCACUUUAAGUUGGGAGGAAGGGCAGUAAGUUAAUACCUUGCUGUUUUGACGUUACAAACAGAAUAAGCACCGGCUAACUUCGUG
rnacentral:rRNA from 1 species